AUGUUUAGAAUUGCCGCAUUGAGAGGUUUUUGAAUGCACCGCGAAUCCGACUUUGAAUUUGACCAAUUAGAAUUUGUAACGCGUGCAUGCGUCAAUGAUGACUUCGACAGGUGCGCGUUUCCCCUCCAUACGGAGGUUCUGUUCUGUCUGUGCUUCGAACCGAUAAGCAUCUCCCAAAAAACGUGAUUUAGAGACAGAGUGGCAGUGAAGUAAAAGAAUCUGGCCGGCCCUGAAUUAGCAACAAACACCAACGGACCAUGAUUAUGAAAAACUGACCCCCUUUGAUCACGUAGAGAAGCCUCUGACAACAGAAUUUGCACCAAGCUAAUGAAUAGUCCUGUAGUACCUUAAAAAAUAAAUGAAAUGAAGGUUAAAAACUGCUCCCAGGUCUUUAGGAAUACAGUAGAAUCCUACAUAGAUAAUGUGGCAAAAUGAAACAUCAGGGACUAACAUAAAUUAACCAGUGAAGCUCAAUACACAUAACAAAGGUUCUCAUCUUAUUUCUGAAUAGACUGCCUCAAUGUCGCAACUUACUCUGAAGCUGACGCCAACCCUGAGAGAAGAACACUUUUAACAAUUUCAAUGCAUGAGCAAUUUUGGAGAGAUUCUAUACAAAUCUAGAAUCUAGGAAAUUUUUAAUGGCAAAUGGAGAAAUGGCAAAAAUCUAUUGCCUCUUUCAUUGCUAAUUUCUUGAGUUAUUUAAUUUAUAAUAUUUACUAAGGAACAUUGCUUGUGAGUCGAGUACGGGGUAAUUCCUUAGUGAUAUUCCUUCAUUCAUUGUUGGUGUUGCAACACAGCACUUUGCUCUUCAUACAACAGAGUUACUAAAUUAAGUUGUGAGUUUAUACAAAAUAGAAUUUGGACGAAUUUUGAUAAUUUAUUUAUUGUUUUUAACAAGAGUGUAUAACUGUUAAUUUUGAUUGUAUAACUGUAUAUUUUUUUUGUUCAAUUUUUUAA